CGGGGGGCAGGUGGGGGGAUCCUGCUGGCUGUGUGGGGCCCUGGCUGUGUAAUCUCCUCACUGAGAAGUGUCAGUGAGGCCCGAAUCUCACACGCUCCGUUGUCUCCUUUGGGUCUCACAGGAGCUCAUUGAGGAGCUGCCUGAUAACUCUCCACCCGGCGCCGUCCUCGCUAACUCCCUGAUUGCUGUGGGCAACUUCAGCACCAUGACACCUGCUGUGGAGCCAGAGCUGGAGACCCACCUCCUUCGAGCUGCCCUGCACGCCGUCUUCACCCUGGGCAUGGAGAAGGACACCGCCCAAGUGCAGGAUCUGCCUAGGGUCUUGCCAGCCCUCCUGGACACCAUGCUGGGGAACCUGCUGGCAGAGUCCCCAGACACCGACAGGCUCCAGUACAUCUUGGAGGUGAGCCCGAUGAGAGGGGUGGGGGCAAUUUUACCUUCACUCUUAGAUCCAU